rnacentral:lncRNA from 1 species
AGGGGUUAAAAGUCAAUUUACCCAUCCAAUAGAUGGAUCGAAGGUGUAGAUAUGUCCGUAUCAUCGAAUGGGAUAUAUAGGAAUAAUUCUUUCGAGAAUCGGAGGAGUAUAUUGAAAAAUAUCCCUCCAUAUUGGUUUAGGCUUUAAGAGAGAGGAAGAGGUAAUCAGGAGAUCAAAAUUUAAUCUAACCAUCUGAUGGAUGGGUUGGGAGUGUCUGUAGCUCC